UGGGGAAUAUUGCACAAUGGGCGCAAGCCUGAUGCAGCCAUGCCGCGUGUAUGAAGAAGGCCUUCGGGUUGUAAAGUACUUUCAGCGGGGAGGAAGGUGUUGAGGUUAAUAACCUCAGCAAUUGACGUUACCCGCAGAAGAAGCACCGGCUAACUCCGUGCCAGCAGCCGCGGUAAUACGGAGGGUGCAAGCGUUAAUCGGAAUUACUGGGCGUAAAGCGCACGCAGGCGGUCUGUCAAGUCGGAUGUGAAAUCCCCGGGCUCAACCUGGGAACUGCAUUCGAAACUGGCAGGCUAGAGUCUUGUAGAGGGUGGUGGAAUUUCCUGUGUAGCGGUGAAAUGCGUAGAGAUCUGGAGGAAUACCGGUGGCGAAGGCGGCCCCCUGGACAAAGACUGACGCUCAGGUGCGAAAGCGUGGGGAGCAAACA
rnacentral:rRNA from 1 species